rnacentral:lncRNA from 1 species
CACUUGGCCACAUGACUCUCAUUUGGCCUGGACCAGCAAUUUCAGGAGUUUUGAACAUCAAUUUUUGAACAGUGAGUUUGGGGAAAGGGAGCAGGGGAAAGUUGGAAGGCGCAAGAGGGGUUGUGAAAUGCAUGCUACAAUUUCGUCAGCAGCUCCUUCCUUUUGUCCUGGCACCUGGGGGAAACCAGGGCUAGCAGGCACUGAGCUUCCUCCAUAUAGAAGCUUUCCCCGGCCUGCUGAGUCACCUGCCUGCUGCGGAGAAUGCGCUUAUUUUUAGCUGGAGAUGAUAUGACCUCCUAUUGUACCCGUGUGGACCAUUCCAUGGCCCUGCCCUUUGGGACACCACUGCUUGGGAGUUAAGAUGGUGGCGAUCUGGAGCCCAGCAGCCUGAUUGAAGGGGGCUUCACCACUUACUGACUGUUUGAUCAAGCAAGACCCUUUGCCAUUCUGAGACCUGACCUCAGAGCUCUGGGGCUGGAGCAGGAAGGGCACCGAGAUGUCAUCCCCUGCUCUACUGAGGUCAAAAUGGAAGCAAAGGAAGGGGCAGACGCUUGCCUGUAUCAGACGUCCAGAGACCCCGCUAAGACCUCGUUCAGGCAGAGCCACCUGUUAGGUAAAAGGCAGCUCCUGAAAGGCUUCACUCAUUCUGCCCUGGUACAGAAGCAGGCCCUGCCUCUUCCAGAUCUGCCUGGAGCUGUCACCUACCAGUGACUUCCAGAACCAACCUGCAAAUCUCUGCCAGUCGGUAGCACUGCUCGGACCUGAGCUCAGAUGAGACGUUCUGCAGCACUGCUCGGACCUGAGCUCAGAUGAGACGUUCUGCAGGCUGCUGAGAAAAUCCCCAACACAGCUGCAGGACACAGAAGUCACUCAGCAGGCUGAGUGACUGGUCAUAUCACUUCUCCUUAUCUCUCCUCCUGGUGACAGAGCCAAUGUCUGUGAGACCUUUUUAAACAGAAGCCUUGCUCCAAAUAAAAUUUGACCCGACACAGGGCCCCAGUGUAUGCAAACAAUAAAAGCUGCCCUCCACCAGCUUAAAUGUAUUUUCUAAGAAGUUCAAGUUUCCAACAUGUUACCGUGUUGCUUACAAAAUCAGUGUGAACACAAGUGAGGUGAGCUCCAGUAUGUGAAAAUCACGUAUCGCUUCUAAAUGUGCAUGGUGCUGCUUAUUACAAAUAUUCAAGUAGUUGAAAAUGUAUUUUGGGCCAGGCACGGUGGCUCACACCUGUAAUCCCAGCACUUUGGGAGGCUGAGGAGGGAGAAUGGCUUGAGCCCAGGAUCAGCCUGUGUAACAUAGGGAGGCCCCAUCUCUACAAAAAAAAUUUAAAUUAACUGGGUGUGGUGGCAUGCACCUAUAGUCCCACCUACUUGGAAGUCUGAGGUGAGAUGAUCCCUUGAGCCUAGGAGUUUGAAGCUGUAUUGAACCAUGAUCCAUACGACUGCACUGCAGCCUCAGCAGUAGAGUGAGACCCUGUCUUAAAAUAAAUAAGCAAAAAUAAAUAAAAUACAUU